rnacentral:lncRNA from 1 species
AAAAUAAACCUCUGGAGAGCCAGUUGCCCAACUCUUCCAGAAGAGAGACUAGACACGCAGCUGGGCAUGCGGCCAGAGCCCAAGAAAAGCCUGGUUUGCCAGGGGCAGAUUACAGUCAACGGGAGCGGCCAAUCCUAACCCAGAUCAAAGAUCCUGGGACAGCUGGAACAGGCAUGGCCUAAUGGAACUCCCAAGUGGACAGGGCCAGGCAUGGACGGACAGAGCUUCUGAAACAGUCCUCAGACCCCGUGCAUCUGGAUCUUUCUGUAGGAACCACCCAUCAGCAGUGCCAGACAGAACCAAGCACAUGCACUGAUCCACCGCACGAUGGGAGCUGGUGUGGGUGAGCUUGUUUGCUUUAGCCAUGCCCACAGACAGGAACAGAAGAGCACAGUGGAGGCCACCAGCCCUCUCGCCUGCUAUUUCAAAAGGGGUUGCAGCAGGGCUGGAAAGCGGUUCCCACUGUGGUUGCCCCCUUCCUCUCUGUGGCACACACAGACCUGAAAAUAACCAGAGAGGGACUGUGAGCUGCCAGCCUAAAACAGGAAGGCUGCAGAAAGUCCUAGGCUCAGAUAGGAGAGUUUAAAAGAAUGUUGAAACCAAGAACGGGCAUCACAGAUCCCACCUGUCUCUGCACCAAAGCAGACCUCCCCCUCUCUAAUCUACUGGUGGGGAGCCUGUGUGCUCUGUAGUCAUGCAGAUCCCAGCUUUACCACUUGCUGGCUGUGUGACUUAAGCAAGCUAUUUAACUUCUCUGAACCCCUAUUUCCUGAUUUGUAAGAUAAGCGCAGCAAUAUACAAAGUUUUAGUGUUGUGGUUCACAUGAAAAAAUUUAAUCCUGGCCAGGCCGGACGUGGUGCCUCACACCUGUAAUUCCAGCACUUUGGGAGGCCAAGGUGGGCAGAUCAUGAGGUCAGGAGUUCGAGACCAGCCUGACCAACAUGGUAAAACCACAUCUCUACUAAAAAUACAAAAAUUAGCCGGGCAUGGUGGUGCGUACCGGUAGUCCCAGCUACUCAGGAGGCUGAGGCAGGAGAAUCACUUGAACCCAGGAGGCGGAGGUUGCAGUGAACCGAGAUGGCACCACUGCACUCCAGCCUGGGCAAGAAGAACGAAACUCCCUCUCAAAAAAAAGAAAAGAAAAAGAAAAAAGAAAGAGAAGAAAGCAUACCUGCACAAUUCAGCCUGACCUGCCCUCACCCAGACAACAGAAGGAACAAUGAAGACUUUAGUUGUCUGAGCCAGAACACUUCUCAGAUAACUGUGCUGCUUACAAAUUGCUUUACAUACACAAUCUCCUCUGAAAUUCUCAACCCUGAAUGCUGGGAGACAUUGCCCCCAAUUUUCAGAUGAGUAGACUGAGGCUAACAGAGGUAAAGUGGCUUGUUCAAAACUGCACUACUAGUAACUGGCAGCUCCAGGGUGAGGUCUGGCUCCUGGCCCAGGACUCUCACUGAGCAAGGGCUCGGUCGGCCCACCCAGGACCAAAGACACUGCAGACCAUGGCAGCAGGCACUUGGUGUUCUGUAGUCUGUGAGGGGAGAGCAGAGAGCAGAACCUGGUGUGUGGGACACCCUCUCCUUCACCGGUGUUCCUGCAGGGACCCUCCGUCUCCUGUAAAGGGGGAAGCCCUAGGCUGACUCCCAGCAAGCAAGUCCUCUCUCACCUUUCACCUGAAGCGAUGAAGCAUCUUAAAGUUUGCCUAAAGCAGAAGUCUACAGGAGACCCACAGAAUAAAUAUGUAAGGUUAUUUUGA